AUUUGGGAAGAAAAAUCUGAAUGAAGGGAAAAGAGCUGAGAGUGAGGAUAUUCCCAUGACAGAAUGGACAAGAAGAGAAUACUAAUGAGCUCCAACUCCCACUUCAUGCUGAGUGCGGUAGAUUAUAAAAAUGCUUACAAUUAUUCGCCUCUCUGCGUUCACUUCCAUUGCAGUUCCUCCCCUCAAGAUAUGGGGUCUUCUUCCCUACUCCUUGAAUCUGGGUUGUCUACGUGACCGGCAUUAGCCAACGGAACAUCGACGGGGGAGACACAGGCAGAGGUUCGAAAAGGACUUCCGCUUUGGGGCUCGUCCUCUCGCCCCACUCAGAACCAUGAGAGCGUCAUGUGGAUGAGCCUGAACUAACCUGCUGGAGAGGUUCCAGGGAGUACAACUGGGGCACUCUGGCCAACGGCCGGCCAAGCACGGAACAUCCGAGAGAGAUCCUUCUUGAUCAUCCAGCCCACCGGAGAAUCGCAGGCGCGUGAGCAAGCACGCCAAAGAAGCCAUACUCAGCCAACACGCCAGAUUGACAGCUAAAUAACAUAGGAAGGUCACAAACCACAGAUAUGAAGAGUUUCUUUAUGGCGAGCAGGGAGGGACAAACAGCACUGCCUCAUCGAAGACCUACGGCAACGAGGCACCACCAGGACCACAUGUGGUAUAGAUCACUCAAGGUGGCCACUGGGAAUAAGACAGAGAAACAGCAGAGUCAGGCCUGGGAGGCAGAUCUGCCCCCAUUCCCCAGCUGGAGGCUCGUUGUUACGGGAGAAGAACAACACUGUCUGGGUGGAGGGAAGGCAUCCGAGCGUGCACCUUAGAGCCCUCCUGGACAGCAGAAGCUUGGACGGCGCCUCCCUCCGAGAGCAGCUUCUGUACCUUCCUUCGAGCGCCUGGCUUACCUGGCUAACAUGGGCUCGCCUCAAAGACACGGAGGCUCCUUGGCGAGCUCCUGGAACACAGAGCUUGGACUCUCAUUUCUAUCUGCGUGAUCUCCACCUCCCAGGCUCCUGUGUGCCCCAGGCUUGGCCUUAUCAGGCCCCUUAUUCGGCCUCGGGGCUGCCUCACCCCUAGAUACCUGUCCUCAAUUCUGUCCUCUGCCCCCCAACAUCCUUCUCAGGCCCAGAACCUUCCACGUGUACCUCUCCACAGGCCAUUCCAAUGUUUUUUGCCUUCCUCUCAGGACGCCUAUGGAUGCCCUUUGAAUAGUCACAGAAGCUCCCUUCCUCCAAAAAGCCUCCCGUCUCUCCCUCCACUGAGUCACAAAGUCUCUGAGCACGAGGGCCCCUCUGGAGAUGCCAUGCCCAAGAGCAGGCAUCUCUUCUUUCCUCGUGCCCUCCUUCCUGUCUUCUGGAGACAGGGCCCUCAUCGUCGUUUUCCUUCUUGCCCUCCUUUACCUACCGCCUGCCUCCAGCUUGGGAAUGGGGUGUCCAGGGACUCCCCGUGAUCGACGACGGCAGGCCGCGGGGCAGCCGCGACACAACUGGAACGAAUCGACCAAGGCCGAAUGCUAACUGCCUCUGGCCACCUCUCCUCUUGGGCCUCUCUCUCAGGCCCCAGAAACACUAAAGGUUCAGGUCCUAAAAUCCGAACUCCCGGGCCCACAAAUCAUCAUUUCCAGCCUGAAAGAGGCACCCAACCCAACCUAAUACUCCUGUAUUCCUGGGCACAGCAUGGUCAUUAAAGCUGCCCUCCCUCCUGAACUCAGGGCGCUUUCACUGCUGCUCUCCUCUGACCGUCCCGUGAGUGGUGGUCCAAUAAAUGGUCCAGGAGGCUCAAAGGGAGACCUGGGUGUUCCCUGGACCUGUGGGUCACUGGCGGUUCAUUCUGGGCUCCGGAUCCAAAGGAGCUGGGGGUAGGUUUCAGCCCCCAAAGUGGAGGCCAGACCUCCCACAUCCAACAACCACAAGCCAGAGAUUGCUACGGUGAACAGAAGCAGCCUGAGCCCCGAUGUGCCCACACGUGUCCCAGAUAGGAUUUUCCCUCCCAGAAGAAACUGCCCAGAGCCUGUUCUUUUGAAAGGCUUGUC